GGUCCCGGGGACGGAGUGGCUCAAGUCGUCGCCCUUUCACGGCGGAGGUAGCGGGUUCGAGACCCGUCGGGAUCACCA
rnacentral:tRNA from 1 species